rnacentral:rRNA from 1 species
UACGAAGGGUGCAAUCGUUGCUCGGAAUCAUUGGGCGUAAAGGGCUCGUAGGCGGCCAACUAAGUCAGACGUGAAAUCCCUCGGCUUAACCGGGGAACUGCGUCUGAUACUGGAUGGCUUGAAUCCGGGAGAGGGAUGCGGAAUUCCAGGUGUAGCGGUGAAAUGCGUAGAUAUCUGGAGGAACACCGGUGGCGAAGGCGGCAUCCUGGACCGGCAUUGACGCUGAGGAGCGAAAGCCAGGGGAGCAAACGGG